GACGAACGCUGGCGGCGUGCUUAACACAUGCAAGUCGAACGGAAAGGCCCUGCUUUUGUGGGUUGCUCGAGUGGCGAACGGGUGAGUAACACGUGAGUAACCUGCCCUUGACUUUGGGAUAACUUCAGGAAACUGGGGCUAAUACCGGAUAGGAGCUCCUGCUGCAUGUUGUGGGUUGGUAAGUUUCGGCGGUGGGGGAUCGGCUCGCGGCUUAUCAGCUUGUUGGUGGGGUAGUGGCUUACCAAGGGUUUGACGGGUAGCCGGCCUGAGAGGGUGGACGGCGACAUUGGGACUGAGGUACGGCCCAGACGGCUACGGGAGGCAGCAGGGGGGAAUAUUGCACAAUGGGCGGAAGCCUGAUGCAGCAACGCCGCGUGCGGGAUGACGGCCUUCGGGUUGUAAACCACUUUCGCCUGUGACGAAGCGUGAGUGACGGUAAUGGAUAAAGAAGCACCGGCUAACUACGUG
rnacentral:rRNA from 1 species